UAUAAACGGGACUAGCUAACAGUCGUGGGUCGUGGGUCGUGGGUAGAAUGUCGUGGGUCGUGGGUAGAAUGUCGUGGGUCGUGGGUAAAAAGUCGUGGGUCGUGGGUAAAAAGUCGUAAGUCGUGGGUAAAAAGGCGUGGGUCGUGGGUAAAAAGUCGUGGGUCGUGGGUAAAAAGUCGUGGGUCGUGGGUAAAAAGGCGUGGGUCGUGGGUAAAAAGGCGUGGGUCGUGGGUAAAAAGGCGUGGGUCGUGGGUAAAAAGGCGUGGGUCGUGGGUAAAAAGGCGUGGGUCGUGGGUAAAAAAUCGUGGGUCCCGAAUAAAAAGUCGUGGGUUCCAAGCAAAAUAUUUCCAUAUAUUUACCUUUCUCCUUUGGAAUGCGUGUUUUUUUUUCUUCUGAGGCUUUCCCAAACUAUGCCCAAAUAUGCAUAGCUUAGAGCGCGUUAAGGCUGGGUUUUUGAUAUCGGCA